UGUCCGGAAUUAUUGGGCGUAAAGAGCUCGUAGGCGGUUUGUCGCGUCUGCUGUGAAAAUCCAAGGCUCAACCUUGGACCUGCAGUGGGUACGGGCAAGCUAGAGUGCGGUAGGGGAGAUGGGAAUUCCUGGUGUAGCGGUGGAAUGCGCAGAUAUCAGGAGGAACACCAAUGGCGAAGGCACAUCUCUGGGCCGUAACUGACGCUGAGGAGCGAAAGCGUGGGGAGCGAACAGGAUUAGAUACCCUGGUAGUCCACGCCGUAAACGGUGGGUGCUAGCUGUGGGCCACAUUCCACGUGGUCUGUGACGAAGUUAACACAUUAAGCACCCCGCCUGGGGAGUACGGUCGCAAGACUAAAACUCAAAGGAAUUGACGGGGGCCCGCACAAGCGGCGGAGCAUGCGGAUUAAUUCGAUGCAACGCGAAGAACCUUACCAAGACUUGACAUAUAGAGGAAAAGCGUAGAAAUACGCUCCCCGCAAGGUCUCUAUACAGGUGGUGCAUGGUUGUCGUCAGCUCGUGUCGUGAGAUGUUGGGUUAAGUCCCGCAACGAGCGCAACCCUCGUCCUAUGUUGCCAGCACGUAAUGGUGGGAACUCAUGGGAGACUGCCGGGGUCAACUCGGAGGAAGGUGGGGAUGACGUCAAAUCAUCAUGCCCCUUAUGUCUUGGGCUUCACGCAUGCUACAAUGGCCGAUACAAAGGGCUGCAAUACCGCAAGGUGGAGCGAAUCCCAUAAAGUCGGUCUCAGUUCGGAUUGGGGUCUGCAACUCGACCCCAUGAAGUCGGAGUCGCUAGUAAUCGUAGAUCAGCAACGCUACGGUGAAUACGUUCCCGGGCCUUGUACACACCGCCCGUCAAGUCACGAAAGUCGGUAACACCCGAAGCCGGUGGCCUAACCGUAAGGAAGGAGCCGUCGAAGGUGGGAUCGGUGAUUGGGACUAAGUCGUAACAAGGUAGCC
rnacentral:rRNA from 1 species